NNNUCUAGUGGUAGAAUUCGUCGUUGCCAUCGACGAGGCCCGUGUUCGAUUCACGGAUGAUGCA
rnacentral:tRNA from 1 species